UACGGGGGGGGCAAGCGUUGUUCGGAAUUACUGGGCGUAAAGGGCUCGUAGGCGGCCAACUAAGUCAGACGUGAAAUCCCUCGGCUUAACCGGGGAACUGCGUCUGAUACUGGAUGGCUAGAGAUUGGGAGAGGGAUGCGGAAUUCCAGGUGUAGCGGUGAAAUGCGUAGAUAUCUGGAGGAACACCGGUGGCGAAGGCGGCAUCCUGGACCAAUAUUGACGCUGAGGAGCGAAAGCCAGGGGAGCAAACGGG
rnacentral:rRNA from 1 species